rnacentral:lncRNA from 1 species
GCACUAGCUGUACUGAGGAAAAGCCACUCUACAAGCUAAAGGAAACCGUUUAUGCUUCUGCAGAGUAAGACCAAAAGUAAAGAAUGUAAUGCACUGGGGUGUCUUGCACUUUAAAACAGAAUAUUCCCCCCCCCCCAAAAGGAGUCUUAUUUGUGUGCAGUGGAGCAUCUCAAGCCAAUGGGAUAAAGUGAAUCAGUGCAAUUAG